GGUCGCAUAGCUCAGUUGGGAGAGCACCUGCCUUACAAGCAGGGGUCAUUGGUUCGAGCCCAAUUGUGACCACCA
rnacentral:tRNA from 1 species